UACGUAGGGUGCGAGCGUUGUCCGGAAUUAUUGGGCGUAAAGGGCUCGUAGGCGGUUUGUCGCGUCGGGAGUGAAAACCUCGGGCUUAACUCGGGGCUUGCUUUCGAUACGGGCAGACUAGAGGUAUGCAGGGGAGAACGGAAUUCCUGGUGUAGCGGUGAAAUGCGCAGAUAUCAGGAGGAACACCGGUGGCGAAGGCGGUUCUCUGGGCAUGAUCUGACGCUGAGGAGCGAAAGUGUGGGUAGCAAACAGG
rnacentral:rRNA from 1 species